GGGACUGUCCCUAUAAAAUCGGGACAUCUGGUCACCCUAUCCUGGGGUGAAAUGGACUUUCCCUGCUGCAUUUCUGCACACACCUUCUCUUGGCCAGAGCUGCCUGCAGAGCAGACUCCAUCUUGGCCACAAAGGCGCUGAAGUUACACCCGUCUUCUCAGUGAGCUGGUAACUCUGAAACCUAAAGAUGACUGACAGGAUCCCACUGGUUCGUGGCACAUUUGCAGUCAGAGUUGCAGACAGAAAAUAAGGAGGUUUCAUGACGUGCAACUGGUUUGCUUACGAGAACUGGCAGGACUUUCAGUUCCCAAGAGGAGCGGCAUCUCAGGGACAGCAGAGGCAGACAGAGAAGGGUCCUGGAAGCGCUGCUCAUAAACAGGAGAAACCAAGAGCAAUUUGAAUUCCACAGAGCAUAGGAGGAGCUGUCUCUUCAGCCGGAACUGGUUCAUGGACAUGAGACACAGGGAACAGGAACAUUCUCUAAUGGAGAGGCUGAUUUGAUGGCUGAAAGGGUGGGGCAUCCACCUGCUGCCAAGACCCCACGAUCAUCCCAUCGGCUGCUGCUGCCUCCGCCUCUGGCUGGCUGCCAACCAGGGUGCUGCUGAGCCAGAAGAUCCUGUUGCAAUAAUUCCCCCAACUGACUAGGAGGAGAACACUGAGCCUGCAGUAGUCCUGGAAUACUAACAUGUUCCAGACUCGAAAACUCUUUGCAAGAGACAUCUGCAGAUUU